GUUACACGCAGCGUGUUCACAAACAAGACACGCAGGCACCCGGGCCAGGGCCGGCCACCCCGGGCGGGCCUUGGGCCAAGCUCCCUAAUUUGGUCUCCUCCACUGGAGCAGGAGGUCAGCAGUUGCCGAGUUUUAUGGUGAAAGGAGGGUAUGUCUACGAGUCCUGGGGGCGAUGGAACUGUCCCGUAUCCUGACUGCCGUGACGGUCUCGCCCUAACAAAGGUCCUGCAUCCCGGCAGCAGAAGUUGGUUCCAGUUUCUAGCCUUUCCUGGCAUGCUUCUAGAAUCAGCCUCCCUGCGCCUGCUCAGAUACAUCAGGGGGGCAGCAGAUGCCCGGCCGCCCGCUCCUCCCACUGCAGCCCCGCUUCCAAGCGCGCACAUUCUGGUGCCCCCCGCUCUUCCUGUGCUCCUGCCUGGGGGAGGGGGGCUGCGUUUGUAGUUAUUCACUCUCUUUCCCAUCCAGUAUGGCUUUAAGCAGUUCUCUAGAUUAAAUUGUCCCUGAUAAAAUAACUGUUGCGGUUCCUGUUUCCCCACCACACAUGGACACAGACCCCACAGCUACCAAGCCGACUGCACGAGGAAGUUGUAA